UACGAAGGGGCUAGCGUUGCUCGGAAUCACUGGGCGUAAAGGGUGCGUAGGCGGGUCUUUAAGUCAGGGUGAAAUCCUGGAGCUCAACUCCAGAACUGCCUUUGAUACUGAAGAUCUUGAGUUCGGGAGAGUGAGUGGAACUGCGAGUGUAGAGGUGAAAUUCGUAGAUAUUCGCAAGAACACCAGUGGCGAAGGCGGCUCACUGGCCCGAUACUGACGCUGAGGCACGAAAGCGUGGGAGCAACAGG
rnacentral:rRNA from 1 species